UGGGUCAGGUAUAGUUUUUUUGUACAAAGCAAGCUUACAAGAUGUUCAAAUACUUUGCUUUAUUUGCACUCCUCUUCUUGUUGGCCGCCGCCGCACCUGAGCCUGAAGCCAAACCAGUGUACCCAUAUUCUCAUCAUUAUACCCAUCAUGGAGUUCACCCAUACGCCUAUGGUCAUCAUCACUACGUUCAUCCGUACCACGCUGGGGUCUAUGGACACCACUAUGGCCAUUUGGGACACUACUAUUAAUUUCUACGUUGUAAUCUGAACACAUGUUGUAUGCAAAAAAUUUAUUAAAGCUCAUUAAAGUCAAUAUUACAACAGA